AUGCAGUCGAGCGGAUGAGGGAGCUUGCUCCUGGAUUCAGCGGCGGACGGGUGAGUAAUGCCUAGGAAUCUGCCUGGUAGUGGGGGACAACGUUUCGAAAGGAACGCUAAUACCGCAUACGUCCUACGGGAGAAAGCAGGGGACCUUCGGGCCUUGCGCUAUCAGAUGAGCCUAGGUCGGAUUAGCUAGUUGGUGAGGUAAUGGCUCACCAAGGCGACGAUCCGUAACUGGUCUGAGAGGAUGAUCAGUCACACUGGAACUGAGACACGGUCCAGACUCCUACGGGAGGCAGCAGUGGGGAAUAUUGGACAAUGGGCGAAAGCCUGAUCCAGCCAUGCCGCGUGUGUGAAGAAGGUCUUCGGAUUGUAAAGCACUUUAAGUUGGGAGGAAGGGUUGUAGAUUAAUACUCUGCAAUUUUGACGUUACCGACAGAAUAAGCACCGGCUAACUCUGUGCCAGCAGCCGCGGUAAUACA
rnacentral:rRNA from 1 species